GAUAUGGAAAUGAUGUUCACUAACCUUUCACAUGAUUCAUGCUUAACUCACAUGUCAUAAUUAAUAUCACGACAAAAUCAUGUUUUUAACUCGCAUGCGCCCUUUAUUAAAGCAGCAUUUUUUUUUUUUUUUUUUGCAGUUAAAAUAAAUAAAAAGUUCACUUUUGAUCAGUUGCAUGUCAAUUUUCGCCGAUAAAAUCCAGUUAUGAGCGCUGUACGGAACACCAUUAUAAGCCUGUGAGGAACACCGUUAUCUUCCGUACACUGGCAGGCGGAGGUGGUACUUUUCCGCAGUUUUCUCAAAAACUAUUGGUCCUAAAGACAUCAAUCAAAGUGUAGACUGUAUAAUAAGUAUUCCCCCGGAAAAUGAGCACACAAACAUGCAUGUUUGUCUUUCAACAACGGAGGAGUGCUCGCUGGCGUGCGGUGAAAAGUGUACGGAACAUGCUACAGGAGAUGGACACAAAAUCACGCUACUGCCCAAGCUUUCAUGUUGUGUAGCUGAUGAGACAAGUAUAUGUAUCUCUUUUUCGGCUCCGCCCCUGCAGCCGGUUUAGUAUCUAGACUGCUCUAACAUCAGAGUGAAGAGAGAAGAAUGUGGAACUUGAUGAAUACGUUUGUUUUCCGCAUCAUUGUGAUCACUGUUUUAGCACUGUGAAGAGCUUGACGUACACUGGGAGAGAAGGGUUUGACAGGACUGACGAGGAGUCCUGUGUGCGUCAUGAUGUUUCCGCCAGCCGCUGCUCAGCUGUGUUUGAAUGUUGUUUGGUUCUAUGUUGCGUUGGUCUAUGUCUGUCAAUAUCUGUGCUUGAUCAGUUGCCUGCUGAUACGUGAGUUUUGAUCCAAUAAUAAACUAUAGCUAAUACACAAAUUGCUAUCUUGACAUCGCGUGUCUUUAUGUUGCUUACCCCUUAUAACGAGCACUUUAAUAACGGGGUUCGUAACAGUGAGGAUCUGGGUAUCCUGAAGGUUGUGUUUCUCGGAUGACAGAGGUGGUGUAAAGUGAAGGCGGUAAAUAAAAAUCUUAUCAAACCAUUAGAAAAAUGUUUGUGCUAUAGUAAAUUAGAUCUGGCCCGUAUUUCUCUCAUCUCUUGUCUGCUAUCAAGGGCUCAUAUCCCAGUGAAGCCUGUCACGCUGAACAGGUGGUGAUAAAUGCUUUGA